rnacentral:rRNA from 1 species
AUUGAACGCUGGCGGCAGGCCUAACACAUGCCAGUCGAGCGGAUGAAGGGAGCUUGCUCCUGGAUUCAGCGGCGGACGGGUGAGUAAUGCCUAGGAAUCUGCCUGGUAGUGGGGGAUAAUGUCCGGAAACGGGCGCUAAUACCGCAUACGUCCUGAGGGAGAAAGUGGGGGAUCUUCGGACCUCACGCUAUCAGAUGAGCCUAGGUCGGAUUAGCUAGUUGGUGGGGUAAAGGCCUACCAAGGCGACGAUCCGUAACUGGUCUGAGAGGAUGAUCAGUCACACUGGAACUGAGACACGGUCCAGACUCCUACGGGAGGCAGCAGUGGGGAAUAUUGGACAAUGGGCGAAAGCCUGAUCCAGCCAUGCCGCGUGUGUGAAGAAGGUCUUCGGAUUGUAAAGCACUUUAAGUUGGGAGGAAGGGCAGUAAGUUAAUACCUUGCUGUUUUGACGUUACCAACAGAAUAAGCACCGGCUAACUUCGUG